rnacentral:rRNA from 1 species
GACGAACGCUGGCGGCGUGCCUAAUACAUGCAAGUAGAACGCUGAAGAGAGGAGCUUGCUCUUCUUGGAUGAGUUGCGAACGGGUGAGUAACGCGUAGGUAACCUGCCUGGUAGCGGGGGAUAACUAUUGGAAACGAUAGCUAAUACCGCAUAAAAUUGAUUAUUGCAUGAUAAUUAAUUGAAAGAUGCAACUGCAUCACUACCAGAUGGACCUGCGUUGUAUUAGCUAGUUGGUGAGGUAACGGCUCACCAAGGCGACGAUACAUAGCCGACCUGAGAGGGUGAUCGGCCACACUGGGACUGAGACACGGCCCAGACUCCUACGGGAGGCAGCAGUAGGGAAUCUUCGGCAAUGGGGGGAACCCUGACCGAGCAACGCCGCGUGAGUGAAGAAGGGUUUCGGAUCGUAAAGCUCUGUUGUAAGAGAAGAACGGGUGUGAGAGUGGAAAGUUCACACUGUGACGGUAUCUUACCAGAAAGGGACGGCUAACUACGUG